CCCGAUGUUGUGAAUGGAAGAUGAAAACAUCUUUUAAGAAAUGUUGCCUGAAGAAUUCAGAGCGAAAGAUAAUUGAAAACAGAUGGGCAUGAGACAGUUGACACAGGCAAUAUGGAAAAAGUGGAGCUAUCCUAUGGAAGCUCUAGCAACUGUGACAACCCUAAGGUGUGAAAGAGGCUAUGCUAAUAAAUGGACUACAAAGCUCAGGACAGGCUUCCAGAAAUAGACUUUCUUUGUUAAACUGUAGAGGUCUGAGGCUAAAUUAAUUUCUGUCGGAAAGAGGCUUGGAUGGAAGGGAUACAGAAAGUUCAUGUGGAAGAGGCUCAAGCCCUGAGGUCCCAGGUUCCAUUCCACCCGCAGAUGAUCAGGGUCUGCCAGCGUAACACCUUCUCCAGCCAAAUACAAUCAAUAGCAAUGAUGGGAACACAGCCUACUUCCAUGGAAGAAUGCACUUUGAAAAAGAAUUGGAUCUGGCAAAUUCUAACCACAGCUAAUUAGACAGCCACACUAGGGGAGAUAAUACCUUUUAUUGGACCAACUUCUGCUGGUGAGAAAAACUCAGCUAUCAUACCACUACAGAUAGCCGCAGCCCUGAAGUGGUUAAGGUGACUCCAAAGGGGCCAAUUAACCUUACAGGCCGCACCUGAGGGAAAGGUGGAGACUGAAUUGGUGAUGAAGCCCAGGACGGCAGGGGCAAGCCAGCUUGUAUACAGCCAGAAAGGAUUGCACCAUCCGUUUUGACUACAGUGUUGCACUAGGAGCUCAGGUUCAGAUGAUUAUCCACCAAGACACCUACAUAUUUUCCUGACUCAUAGCUUUCCUGGAUGGAGGCAGAGCUCAGUCGUGUUUUCAUAGCUUUUAAGGCGAUGUCAAGUGUCAGUAACAGAGGAAAAAAGACUGAGGUUGUCAAACGUCCAGGAUACUUAGGAAAGGUGUCAUGCAAGUGAGUUUGGAACAAAGUUUUAACGCAAGAGAAUGUAUGGAAAGAAAGAGAGAGACAUUAAAAGCUCAUUUCUCCCAACAGUUUCUGUAAACCGUCAGGAAAUGCUCAGUCUAAGAUAUCUAUUAUUGUUAUUAAUUUGUGCAAGUAACAAGAUACAGAACAUGACAAUCUCUGUCAUGAGGAUGUUAUUGUCUAAGUUAAAAGACAAUCCCAAAUCCACUAGGAAACCCAGAGGAGGUCAGUUUUACACCAUUCCCUUGAAGAGAGAGGAUGGACUUCUAGUUCAUUGUAACAGGGUCCCAAGGAAUACACAGUAGCAUGAAAGAAGGCAAGAGGAUAACUGCAUGAACAGGAAGACAAAAGGAGACUGGAAGUGUGGGAUUCAUAAGGAGACUGAAAGGAGCAUAGGGUGAGUGUCAAGAAAUGAAACCAUAGAGAUAAGGGUGAGAGCAGAGUUUGGCAUCAAACAUCAGUUUUUCCUCAGGAAUAUAGGACAACUUGUCUUCAUUCUUCACAACCUGACAUGCUAGUUUUAAAUCUGAAUGCAGGGAGAAACAGCCAAACUUGGUAGAGCUUUGAGAGAGAGGGAGAGAGAGAGAGAGUCUUGUCUCGCCUUCAUAUCUUCAGGGAAAUAGGAGGAGAAAGAAGACUAAAAUGUCGCCAAGACACCAAGCCUAUAUUAAGUCAGAGCAGGUGAGCUCUGUGUAGGAGUCAAGGGAAAAGGAGGCUUAACCAAGCGUCUAUCUAGCCUAGCUACAGGGAAUCGGAGGUGUGAAAACAGAGUAGACAUUGCACAAGUUAUUAGGCUCCAUAAAGGAGUAACUGGGUGGAAAUGAAUGGCUUGUGACUUGCAGGUGGUCAGACUAGGUGAUAUAAUGGUCUCUUCUGUCUUUAUAUUAAAAGAUACCUGCUCUCUGUCUAUGAUCAGAGGUUGAGAGCAUACCUCGAAUAGGUAGCUGAGCAGGAAUAGGGCAGUUAAGGCCAGAUCCACCCAACUGAGUAUGUGGACCAGUGCAGCUAGGCUGUGGCUCAAUAGUCAAUCCUCAACUAUUUCACCAACAUUAGGUUUGGCCUCCCAGGCCCUCACCCCAUUCCUGCAUUACAAAUACUUGGGAUGAAAGGUGCCCACACUCAGAGAUCCAAAGACAUAGGCGGGGAGAGGGAUGGGGUUGGAAUGGCAGUUUGACACUGGUUGUUGUCUCUCUGCUUUAGUGUUUAUAGGGCCACAGAUCCAGGAGAAGAGUUUUCUAAGCUGUGAGCUGGAUCAUUCAGGGCAUACAUUUCAGUCCCACCUGGGGGAAAAAUCCCAUCUUCUUCCCCACCUGUCCACUUGCUAGGAUGAAACUGCUCCAGGAAGUAGGCUGAGUUCUCUCCUGCUGUCCUCUGCAACCCAACACCAUUCUCACAGGGAGGUGGUGGGGAGCAAGAAGCAGAAAGACACAACCAGCUCAAGGGUAGACCUGCUUCCUCUUACGCCUCCCAUGAGCAACAGGAAUGGCUUCUCUGCUCCUCUCCUUUCUUCCUCCCAGCAACACACAGCCCUGGAAAUGGGGCAAGAGGACCCUGGUUGCUGCCCCUUCCGGACCUGAGAAUGGGGUGUAAAGAACCCCAGGAGCUGCAGAGAUCUAAGAAGAAAACUUUGGAAGCGAAAAACAGAAUAGACUGCCUUUAUCCUAAUCCUGAGGGUUGUCUUGACCAGAUCAGGCCAGAGAGGAGGACCCAAAUGAAAUUGCUACCUUUACCAGUUUUAGCUGACUCCUGGCCAUCACCUGGGAUUAAAUGUGAUUGGACUCUAGCAACAAUAACAAGAAUAAUUCCUGAUGCUCUCAUCUAACUUCUCUUUUAUCCCAGAAACCAGUGAUCAUCAUCUUCAAUACGAUCGAAGAGACCAUCAAGUAAAGUGGGAUUUUCCUU